AAUUAUUUCUUCUGUCAGAGAAAAUCCUUUUCGACCAUAGAUUCAUUAAUAAUUCUAUACUGCGACUGGACGCUUUUCUGUGUAAACCUCCGAUUCUGUCAACCGACCUUUUUGUCAUCCUUGUUUCAGCGAUUUUAGUCUGUUAUUAUUAUGUUUCGAAGAAAAUACUUAUCCUUAUUCCCAAACACCGUAAAGGCGAAAAAUGUCGUCGCUCCGUACAACCGCAAGGCUCAGAUUAGGUCGCUUAAAGCGGCGACCACGGUGAGCGACGCUAGUUUUACCAAGCGGCAAACGAGUCAAUCGGUGGUGAAUCUGAAAGAGAUGAACGAUUUUUCCUCCAAGAAUCCGCAUCUUCACGCGUUGCUCCUCGAAGCGGGGGAUGUGCUGAAGAAUUCCACCGAUGCCGAUGGUGUUUCUGUUUAUAUGGUGGACAAAGGACCGAACGAGAUCUAUCUCUUGACCGGAGACGAGAACGAUGUGAUGUUGUCCCGCUAUCGUUUCGAGAUAAAACGCGGCAACACCGUAGCCGCGCACGUGGCCUUCAACAAGGAGAACGUGAUGGUCGAAAAUUUCGAAAUUGACGCCAGGUUUCCGGAAGGGACUGGCUUCAAAUACGACAACGCGGAAUCGGUGCUCGGCGUUCCCGUGGUGACGCCGGACGGCGAGUGCUACGCGGUCUUCGAAAUGGUCAAGGAGGACGUCAAAGAUCCCUUCAACAAGGACGACCUCAAGGUGUCGAUAGUGGUGGCCGGUUGGAUGGGGGCGGCCAUCCAUCAGAACCUACAGAGGCAGGCGAUGUUGAAGCAGGCCAGUCUGCACAACCAGCUGCUCGAGAUGACCGGCGCCUUCUUCAGCAAGCGGACCGACUGCAACUCCAUGAUCACGGAAUUGAUGAAUUUCCUGAAGGAUACCCUGGAAGUGUCGCGGGGCACGUUCUUCCUGAUCGACAAGGAGUGCGACGAGCUCACCGCCGAGGUGUACGAGGAGGGGAUCGACGAGAGGAACGACAACUUCGUGAAGAAGAGCCUGACGGCGAAGCUGUUGCAGAAGGACAGGGGGAUCGCCAGCCUGGUGGCCAGGACCGGCAAGAGGGUCAACGUGAAGGAUCCGGUGAGGGACAGGAGGAUCGGCGACGAGUACGAGCUGAGGGUCGGCAGGACGAUCAAGACGCUCCUGUGCAUGCCCAUCGCCAACGACAGCGGGCUCGUAGGCAUAUUUCACCUGCUCAACAAGAAGUACGGGAUCUUCACGAGGGCGGAUGAAGGUACGCUCAAGACUUUCACGAAGUACACGUCGUGCUGUCUUCAGUAUAACAUCGAAAGUAAGAAGUUGCACAAAGCGGAGAUCAUCUAUAACUUAUACAACAGUCAUUUGAAACGUCUGAUGAGGCCUUGUUCGCACGACUACGACUACGCCCUGAAGACGAUGAACGUCAGAGUGCCCAACCUACUCGAUUUCAGGUGGUACAUACCCGAACAGAUAUCCCAAGACUCCCCCCAGAUAGCCGUGUACAUGGUGAAAGACCUUUGCGACGACGGCAACCUCAACAACGACAAUCUGCUCAAGUUCAUGCUGACCGCCAGACGGCUCUACCGCAAGGUGCCGUACCACAACUUCGAUCACGCGUUCAACUUCAUGCACUGCAUGUACAACAUACUGAAACGGAACAAGGCCACCUUCACCACGUUCGAGAUGAAGGCCCUCCUGAUCUCCUCCAUCGGACACGAUAUAGAUCACAGCGGUUACACUAACAAUUUCUUGCACGAAACGGACGACGUUCUAUACCGUCUCUAUCAGGAAUCGUCUUGGGAGAAUUACCAUUUUCUGGUCACGUCCAUGCUGUUCGACCAAUAUCCGAUCUUCAACACGACCCCCAAGACUUACAAGACGCUGAUGAGGGAGAUGAAGGACGCGAUCUUGGCCACCGACCUUCAGCGUUACUUCAAGAACAGCAAGACCCUGAUACCGCUGAUCAGAGACAACAAUUUCGACACCGGAAACGCCGAGCAUCGGUACCUCAUGAAGGCGGUCAUGAUGACCGUCUCCGAUCUGUCGGGACAGUGCAAGCCCUACUCGACGGCCAAACGCCUGACGGAUAACGUCUACAGAGAGUUCUACGACGAAGGCGACAAAUACAAGAAGAGGGGCCUUAGGGCCCUUCCCCUGAUGGACAGGGAUAAGCAGAAUCAGAUCCCCGAGGAACAGAUACAGUUCCUCUCUUUCGUCGUCCUUCCCGCCACGAGGAUAUUGGAGAGCAUACUGUCCAACAUCGACCUGAGCAGGGAUUGCGUGGCCCUGCAGAAGGCGUGGCACGACGCCCAGACCGAGCGAGAGAAGAAACUGAAGAAGAAGCCUCAUUCCUUCGUUUGAAGAUCGUCCGUUUCGUGAGGAUGCGGUGAAAAACGGGUUUUUAGGAUGUUGUGUCAGGUCCCCAUCAAAAGUAAUUUGGUAAUCUCUGCCUACCGCUACCUUCUUUAGGAUCCUGUGAAACGAUUUUUCCAUAUGUAUCCAUUCGAGCCUGAGCAGGGGAAGCAGAAGGAACAAUGCUUACAGAUAUGAAUCGCCAUCCAGGCACUGAUAACUUCUUCGAAAGAUGAUUAUAUUUCUUUUUGAGGUAAUCAAGUUGCAUGCUAUUGAAUUGUUUGAUAAAUGUUAUUCAAAAUUUGCACUCCACUGUUUUUUGUAGGUGUAAAUUUCCUUUUUACGGCUUGAAAUUCAAGGCCCAUUCACACGGGGAAAUUUUCUCGUCUGUUUUUAUAGAGAAAUCGUAUGCGAUUCGCAUGCGAUAGAGGAUCUGAAACUCAUUUUUGAUAAAUGACAACUGCGAGUUUCAGAUCCUCUAUCGCAUGGGAGUAUCGCACGUGUUUACGUGGCUGAAGUUUUUAUAUGACGCUCGAUUAUCGUUUAUUCGAGGCGAGAAACUCUCUCCAUGUAAAUGAGCCUUUAUUGUGAUUGGAAAUUCAUUUUGUAAUUUUUUGUAUAUUCAAAUGUCAAUUUUUCCUAUUCUUUAAAUUUCCCUUUUCAAUCAUUUUUGUUGACGUAAAUCAAACUCUUUUUUGUGGGUGACAUUUUGCGACUGUAAAUUUCAUUCUCGAUUCUUUUUGUUGAUUAUUUAUUUUGUGAUUCAAAUUUUUUUUUAAUCCGAAUUACACUUAAGAAUAUUUUGUAAAUGUAAAUUAGAAAGUGUAAAUAUGUAAAUUUCUCCUUUUUCGAAAGAAAAACAAUAAAAACUUCAAAAAUUCAUCAGAGUUUUUUUAACGAAUUCCCAUUCUACGGCUUUUCGAAAACGUGAAUUUCGAUUUCACGGCUUUCUGAUGUGUUAAUUUCGUUUCCUAGGCUUGAAUUUUUUGUAAGUGUAAAAUUUUUUUGUAAAUGUAAAUUCCGAUUC